UAUUGGUCAAUGGGGGAAACCCUGAACCAGCAACGCCGCGUGAGGGAUGACGGCCUUCGGGUUGUAAACCUCUGUCCUCUGUGAAGAUAAUGACGGUAGCAGAGGAGGAAGCUCCGGCUAACUACGUGCCAGCAGCCGCGGUAAUACGUAGGGAGCAAGCGUUGGCCGGAAUUAUUGGGCGUAAAGAGGGAGCAGGCGGUCGUGAAGGUCCACUGGUAAAAGACCGGGGCUAAACCCCGGUAGGCCGAGGAAACCGUACGACUAGAGUACAGCAGAGGAUCGUGGAAUUCCAUGUGUAGCGGUGAAAUGCGUAGAUAUAUGGAGGAACACCAGUGGCGAAGGCGACGAUCUGGGCUGAAACAGACGCUGAGUCCCGAAAGCGUGGGGAGCA
rnacentral:rRNA from 1 species